rnacentral:tRNA from 1 species
GCCGGUUUGGCUCAGUGGAUAGAGCAUCCUCCUGCGGACUGAAGGGUCCCAGGUUCGAUUCCUGUAAAGGGCA